rfam:Camelus ferus unplaced genomic scaffold scaffold367, whole genome shotgun sequence.
GAGGGUUUAGCUCAUUGGUAGAGCACAUGCUUAGCAUGCACGAGGUCCUGGGUUCAAUCCCCAGUACUUGCA